rnacentral:rRNA from 1 species
UCUCCUACGGGUGGCAGCAGUGGGGAAUAUUGCACAAUGGGCGCAAGCCUGAUGCAGCCAUGCCGCGUGUAUGAAGAAGGCCUUCGGGUUGUAAAGUACUUUCAGCGAGGAGGAAGGCAUUAAGGUUAAUAACCUUAGUGAUUGACGUUACUCGCAGAAGAAGCACCGGCUAACUCCGUGCCAGCAGCCGCGGUAAUACGGAGGGUGCAAGCGUUAAUCGGAAUUACUGGGCGUAAAGCGCACGCAGGCGGUCUGUUAAGUCAGAUGUGAAAUCCCCGGGCUCAACCUGGGAACUGCAUUUGAAACUGGCAGGCUUGAGUCUUGUAGAGGGGGGUAGAAUUCCAGGUGUAGCGGUGAAAUGCGUAGAGAUCUGGAGGAAUACCGGUGGCGAAGGCGGCCCCCUGGACAAAGACUGACGCUCAGGUGCGAAAGCGUGGGGAGCAAACAGGAUUAGAUACCCUUGUAGUCGA